rnacentral:rRNA from 1 species
AACGAACGCUGGCGGCAGGCUUAACACAUGCAAGUCGAACGCCCCGCAAGGGGAGUGGCAGACGGGUGAGUAACGCGUGGGAAUCUACCGUGCCCUGCGGAAUAGCUCCGGGAAACUGGAAUUAAUACCGCAUACGCCCUACGGGGGAAAGAUUUAUCGGGGUAUGAUGAGCCCGCGUUGGAUUAGCUAGUUGGUGGGGUAAAGGCCUACCAAGGCGGCGAUCCAUAGCUGGUCUGAGAGGAUGAUCAGCCACAUUGGGACUGAGACACGGCCCAAACUCCCACGGGAGGCAGCAGUGGGGAAUAUUGGACAAUGGGCGCAAGCCUGAUCCAGCCAUGCCGCGUGAGUGAUGAAGGCCUUAGGGUUGUAAAGCUCUUUCACCGAUGAAGAUAAUGACGGUAGUCGGAGAAGAAGCCCCGGCUAACUUCGUGCCAGCCGCCGCCGUAA